rnacentral:miRNA from 1 species
GUUCGCCACAAACCGGCCAAUCAGCAGCAGACCCUCCCUCCCAGACCUUUCCACCUCCUGGACAGCAUCCAUUUUGAAGCCGCAUUCUUAGUGAGCUGUCCAGGAGGUGGGAGGGUCUGGGAGGGAGGGUCUGCUGCUGAUUGGCUGGAAUGUGUCUG